CAAAACUGAUUACUUUAAAUUAACCAUCUUCUCAAUGUAAGUGAGAUACAUUAUUUAUGUUAAAUUUUGA
rnacentral:tRNA from 1 species